rnacentral:rRNA from 1 species
UACGGAGGGGGCUAGCGUUGUUCGGAAUUACUGGGCGUAAAGCGCACGUAGGCGGCUUUGUAAGUUAGAGGUGAAAGCCCGGAGCUCAACUCCGGAAUUGCCUUUAAGACUGCAUCGCUAGAAUUGUGGAGAGGUAAGUGGAAUUCCGAGUGUAGAGGUGAAAUUCGUAGAUAUUCGGAAGAACACCAGUGGCGAAGGCGGCUCACUGGACCGGCAUUGACGCUGAGGUGCGAAAGCGUGGGGAGCAAACAGG